GACGAACGCUGGCGGCGUGCUUAACACAUGCAAGUCGAGGGGGUUCGUGGGGCAACUCACGGAUCACCGGCGAACGGGUGCGUAACACGUGAGCGACCUGCCGUACCUGUGGGGGAUAGCCGGCCCAACGGCCGGGUAAUACCGCAUACGCUUGUCUUGGGGCAUCCUGGGGACAAAAGAAGCUCUGGGGGCAACCCUGGGGCGCAGGACGAGGGGCUCGCGGCCUAUCAGCUAGUUGGCGGGGAACGGCCCACCAAGGCGGUGACGGGGUAGCCGGUCUGAGAGGAUGGCCAGCCACAUUGGGACUGAGAGACGGCCCAGACUCCUACGGGAGGCAG
rnacentral:rRNA from 1 species